CUUUUUGAUUAUAAUUUAAGGUCUGGCCUGCCCAAUGAUAAAAUUAAAUGGCCGCGGUAUUUUGACCGUGCAAAGGUAGCAUAAUCAUUAGUUUUUUAAUUGGAAGCUUGUABGAAAGGUUGGAUGAGAAAAUAGCUGUCUCUAUUUAAAUUUUGUAGAAUUUUAUUUUUAAGUAAAAAAGCUUAAAUAUUUAUAGAAGACGAGAAGACCCUAUAGAGUUUUAUAAGUAAUAAUAAUUAUAAUUUUUAGUAUUUUAACUUUAAUUUUUAAUAUUUAUUUAAUUGGGGUGAUUAAAAAAUUUAGUAAACUUUUUUUUAAUGGUAACAUUUAUUUAUGAUAAUAUGAUCCUUUUUUAAAGAUUAAAAGAAUAAAUUACCUUAGGGAUAACAGCGUANUUUUUUUUAAGAGUUCUAAUCGAAAAGAAAGAUUGCGACCUCGAUGUUGGAUUAAAAUAAAUUUUUGGUGUAGAAGCUAAA
rnacentral:rRNA from 1 species